GGCGGCAGGCCUAACACAUGCAAGUCGAACGGUAGCACAGAGAGCUUGCUCUCGGGUGACGAGUGGCGGACGGGUGAGUAAUGUCUGGGAAACUGCCUGAUGGAGGGGGAUAACUACUGGAAACGGUAGCUAAUACCGCAUAACGUCGCAAGACCAAAGUGGGGGACCUUCGGGCCUCGUGCCAUCAGAUGUGCCCAGAUGGGAUUAGCUUGUUGGUGAGGUAACGGCUCACCAAGGCGACGAUCCCUAGCUGGUCUGAGAGGAUGACCAGCCACACUGGAACUGAGACACGGUCCAGACUCCUACGGGAGGCAGCAGUGAGGAAUAUUGGUCAAUGGCCGAGAGGCUGAACCAGCCAUGCCGCGUGCGGGAGGACGGCCCUAUGGGUUGUAAACCGCUUUUGUUGGGGAGCAAUAAGGGUCACGCGUGACCUGAUGAGAGUACCCAGCGAAUAAGCAUCGGCUAACUCCGUGCCAGCAGCCGC
rnacentral:rRNA from 1 species